AGUGAACGCUGGCGGUAGGCCUAACACAUGCAAGUCGAACGGCAGCACAGUAAGAGCUUGCUCUUACGGGUGGCGAGUGGCGGACGGGUGAGGAAUACAUCGGAAUCUACUUUUUCGUGGGGGAUAACGUAGGGAAACUUACGCUAAUACCGCAUACGACCUACGGGUGAAAGCAGGGGAUCUUCGGACCUUGCGCGAUUGAAUGAGCCGAUGUCGGAUUAGCUAGUUGGCGGGGUAAAGGCCCACCAAGGCGACGAUCCGUAGCUGGUCUGAGAGGAUGAUCAGCCACACUGGAACUGAGACACGGGCCAGACUCCUACGGGAGGCAGCAGUGGGGAAUAUUGGACAAUGGGCGCAAGCCUGAGCCAGCCAUACCGCGUGGGUGAAGAAGGCCUUCGGGUUGUAAAGCCCUUUUGUUGGGAAAGAAAAGCAGCAGGUUAAUACCCCGCUGUUCUGACGGUACCCAAAGAAUAAGCACCGGCUAACUGCGU
rnacentral:rRNA from 1 species